CCCAGGGCCGCCAGCAGCCGGAGCGCGCUCGCCUCGCGGGGGGUCGCCGGAACCGGACGCGGCCCCGCCCCCGGAGCCUCACCGGGCAGCGCCGCGUCCUCUGCCGGCCCGGGGCACCCACGAUUCGGAACGAACGGACCUCCCGACAGCGGCCGAGGCGCUGGGACCCAAACCCACGCACGCGUGCUCUCCGCCCAUUUUCUAUGAAUCGUGGCCGAUGACGGUUGUCUGCCGUCAACCUAAUCACAACUGCUGUGCUGUCUUCACUGGAACAGAUCAACACGGCCCUGGUUCCUGGCAUGCAGCUAGUGGUCUGGUGAAUGCAUUCUUUCCAUUCCCAUCAAUAAAAAGGACCAAAGGCAGUUCAUGAUUAAGUGGGAAGGACAACGGAAUACAUCCAACUUCUUGACAAAGGACUUGUCAACCCUCCUACUUCACACAGGGACUGAUUUUGUGGACAUUCUGUGGAACAUCCUUCAACUGAUAACAUCCUAAUAAUCAGACCUGGUGAAGAGGAAGUGGCAGGCGUACAUGGAUCCCUCAGUAACACACACACAUACCAGAGGAGGGGAGAUAAACCCUACAAAGAUGCCAGGGCCUUUUAUAUCAGUGAAGUUUUUAAGGGUCCAAGCAUCUGAGGCAUGCUGGGACAUUCUAAGGUAAGGGACAAAUUACUGCAUCUUGCCCUCACUACUAAGACUAAGAAAGAGGCAGUGUUUGGUGGGCCUCCUUGGAUUUUGGAGGCAGCACAUCCACUUUCAAGUGUGGUCCAGUCACACAGCCCAAGCACCAUAUGACCCGGCAGAUUCAAAUGGUGUUAGAGUCAUCUGUGUUGGAUAGAAAUGUUGUGUAGAGGUCUGCCAAGCCCAAUAGGAACUUGCCAAUAGAAGUCAUGCCUGCUGCAGCAGAGAACUACGCAGUUUGAAAAGCAGCUCCUGGGAUGCUACUGACCAUGACAGCAAAUGACUACGUGCCUGUAGCUAUUGAUCACAGCUGAGUAUUUUCUGACUCAAGUCACUCGACUGGGUAGACAGAGCAACCAUCCAUCAUGUGGGGGAAGUGUCACACUUGGGAUCAGGCAUGAGCAGGUCCAGAAGCCACAAGGUAUGUACGCAGGAGGCUCAGACCCAUCCCCGUCUCCUACGUUUGCUGAAGUGAUGCCCUCCCUCUGUUCACACCUGUGGAUUCACGGAAGGCUCCCUUUAACCUGUCGGUGGAACACCUAGGGUUUGUUUCACAGAGGGAUCAGCUCAAGACACUGAUGUGAACCAGAAAUGCAUUGUUGAUGCACUCCGGCCUUCCCCAGGAGGGCCCUACAGGCCAGCGUGAGGGGAAAUCCAGUGGGCAGAGCUGCAGUCUACCUGGAGGGAGAGACUGUAUGUCUGUACGUCUCGCUUGCAUGGAGGGAGAAGCAGCCUAAGGUAAAGAUUUCACGGCCUGCUGGGCUGUGAGACAGCACAGAUGUGGGACCCCUUCACCUCUCACCAAAGUAGGACGAUGAGCGGCAGCUCUUGGGGCCCAGCAGGAUGCUUCAUUUCCCUCAUAUGCAGCAGCUCCACCAGGGGCCUAAAGAUAAUCAGCUGCUGCCUGAUCACUAAAUUCUCUGUGGGCCUCCAUCACGGUUAAUAUGCAAACAGCACAGCUCACGUGAAAUGUACUGAGUUUAAGGUGCUGGCAGGACAUCAGGAUCGUCAGUAAGCUACCGGAGGAGUAAGACUAUUUCGUAUUUCAAGCACUAUUGAUUCUUUUUCAGCAAUGACCCUCUCCCUAACUUAUCUGGCUGGUGCAUAAAGACUUAGUUAUUUAAUCAUCCCAGGAUGGCAUUCAGGCUGGUUUCCAGAGAUCAGAACUGGUACUAGACAUGAGACUUUCUUGCUGUCCCUAAUCCUGGCAUGUAGGUUCGUCUGACCCUAAGGGCUGCAGCAGUAGACAAAAAGGUAUUUCAGUGACUACUAGUCAGAGGUAAAAAAAAAAAACCUUGUAACAUGAAGAUAAGCAAGUGAGAGGAGGGAGUGAACUAACUGGGUUUCUAGGGGAGAGGAGGACUUGCCGGCCAGAAGACUUUAUAAGGGACACAGAGAAAAAUAUCUUAAGACCUCAGAGAGACCGCAGUCAGAAGGAAGAGGCAGGAUGGACCUAAGUAAUCGUAUUAUGUAUUAUUGACUUCUGGAGUUUAGAAGAAACUUCUCGGGGAGAGUCACACUUUCAGACUUUGGUAGAGACAGAAUAUACACAACAAAAAGCACAGGAGGCUGACAGAAUGUUCCCAGCGAUGGAAAAAUGUGUUCAGUCUGUAGAAAACCACAAUGUAGACCAAGAGGCAGCAGGCGACUACACCCUACCGCGACCUCCUGACACACACGUUCACAAGUACUAAAAGUUCCAUUUACCCAAAGCCAAAUUUUCCAAACGCUAAACCAGGAGACGUUUCCUCUCUUCAGCAUAGUGUUCAAUAACCAACAGACCCUCUAUUAUAAUAACAGUCUUGAGGCAUUACAAGAUGUUCUAAGUUUAUUCUGAAUCAGAUUAAAUUGUGUUCAGCGUGGCUCAAUUCUUUACAAAUUGUCAUUCUUGAAUACAUAUUAAAACAGUUAAACAGC